AACGAACGCUGGCGGCAGGCCUAACACAUGCAAGUCGAACGGUUGUAGCAAUACAGCAGUGGCGCACGGGUGAGUAACACGUGGGAACGUGCCUUUCAGUCUGGAAUAACAGCGGGAAACUGCUGCUAAUACCGGAUAUUCUCUACGGAGGAAAGAUUUAUCGCUGAAAGAUCGGCCCGCGUUAGAUUAGGUAGUUGGUAGGGUAAUGGCCUACCAAGCCUACGAUCUAUAGCUGGUCUGAGAGGAUGAUCAGCCACGCUGGAACUGAGACACGGUCCAGACUCCUACGGGAGGCAGCAGUGGGGAAUAUUGGACAAUGGGGGAAACCCUGAUCCAGCCAUGCCGCGUGAGUGACGAAGGCCUUAGGGUUGUAAAGCUCUUUUAUCAGGGACGAUGAUGACGGUACCUGAAGAAUAAGACACGGCUAACUUCGUGCCAGCAGCCGCAGUAA
rnacentral:rRNA from 1 species